UGGGGUUGGACUCCAUGCCGAGAGGGACAACACUUUUGGGAACUGGAUCCCUGGUAGCAAAAAUCACCUUGCUGACGCUCUCUCUCUAAGGACCUGAGUCACCUCCUUGUUCCUCGGGAACAAUCUGCACGCUGAGAAAGAAAGGGACAAGUACCAUUAUCGCAACUUUGAAGAUGAAGACACUGAAUUCUAAGAUCCCAGGACGACGAAAAACAUUGCGAAGUCAUCGGCUCCAAAGAGGCCCUAACCUGUUGAUUGGCAGAAUCACCUGAGCAGCUCAGCAAACGCACAGGCCCACAGCCUCCGCUCGGCUCAGCAGCCCCAGGACACAGCCCGGGAACAUGUAUUUCUAACAAGUUCCCCAAGGAAUAUUUUGCUUAAUAACCUGACUAACACAAUUUGUGUUAGUUUGUUUGGGAAUCACACAGUGAUGUAGUCUUUCUCAGGUUUUAGAAAGAUCAUGACAUUUGUCAACGAUGGACCACAUAUAGGACAAUGGUUCCAAUGGGUUAUAAUGAAGCUGGAAAAUUCCUAUCACCUAGCAACGUCAUAGCUGUCAUUAAUAGAGAGAAAUGUUCAUGGUGCUUUAUCUGCUUACAAGUAAAUCUACGGUUGAAAAAAAAGAAACAAACCAAGUAAACAACCAUGGACAUAUUUCUGAAAUAUGACUGAAACCUUCUCAAGAAGAGCCUCAGGCAGGUCCUACAGGAGGUUUUCCAAAUGAAGGCACUGUUAUCAUGGGAGACGACAGCUCCAUGCAUGUGACUAUCCCUGAAGACCUCCCAUGGGACAAGACAUGCAGGCGGGAGACAGUGAUACUGAUAUCCUGACCCUGUGAAAGCCUAGGCUAAUGUGUGUGUUUGUGUCUUAGUUUUUAACAAAAAUGUUAAAGGAAAAAAAA